rnacentral:rRNA from 1 species
GUGUACCCGCGGCAAGACGGAAAGACCCCGUGAACCUUUACUAUAGCUUGACACUGAACAUUGAGCCUUGAUGUGUAGGAUAGGUGGGAGGCAACGAAGUGUGGACGCCAGUCUGCGCGGAGCCAUCCUUGAAAUACCACCCUUUAACGUUUGAUGUUCUAACCCGGGUCCAUAAUCUGGAUCGGGGACCGUGUCUGGUGGGUAGUUUGACUGGGG